UUUUUCUAAGGUCAGCGCCGCGAGCUGGCUACAUCGUCCUCUUAAGGUGGACUGGGGAAGUUGCGACCGACCUCCCUUCCCUCGCCUCCGGACUCCGGCCGCGGCCUGUCGGAGGACAUGAAUGAAGCCAGGAAGACUGGCCACAGCCCUGUAAAUAGAGAAGAAGUUGAUACCCACAGAGGGAGCCCACUUUCGACUUGUGCAAGGCCUGGGGUCAAAACAGGAUUUAAUUUCCUGAUUUCAAGGCUAAAGACCUUGGUAGUGUGACCCUAGCCCUACCCCACCCCAGCCUCCCUGUCCAAUGCCUGGUCCUCGGGUGGUGCUAAGGGGAGAGGCAGGUGGGGUACACCUGUUGAGGGCAUGGACCAGGCUCCUCGGGUUCUAAUCCUGCCAGCCAUCUCUUGUGACCAUGUGCACCCGAGACAAUAUCCUACCAUUUCCGGGCCACAGCUUCCUCAUUGGCAGUGAGGCUGACAGGAGGAUGGACCUAACAAGCUGGUGUGAGGAUUCGGUGAAUUCAUGUCUGCCCAAUAGUUCAGAAAGUGUCUCGCAUGUCCCAAGCCCUAGAUAGCAUUUGAUAAAUAAGUAAGCUAUUCUGGCCCCCAUCCUUGGGAGCCCACAGAGCAGUAUUUAAAGUGCAAGGGCAUUUUCUUUUCUUUGGGUGUGGGAGGCACAGCAAUGACCCAUGCAAGGUCCCUGUCCACAAGGAAUUUACAUGCUAGUGGGGAGACAGAUAAGUAGACAAGUAGAAAUAAUUUGUGAACAACAGAAGCUUGGGCGUAGAGAGUAAGAAGUGAGGGCUCUUUCAGAUAAGGCCAGGGCCCCUGUGAGAGCCACUAGAUGGGGGCAGCAAGUUGAAGAUUUGGGGAUUUGCUGUUCCAGGAAGAGAGAACAGCAUAUAUAAAGGCCCGGGGGCCACCUUGGCUAGAGGGGAAACAGCGAAGAUGGGGAACAGUGGUCCAGCCGGUGGCCUCGCCGACCUUGGUAAAAAGCCGGCAUUUGUUCUGCCAAUAGGAAAUCCCCGGAGGGUGCUAAGAAGGGAGGCGCCAAGGUCUGAUGUACGUGUUUUAAGAGGCCAGUCUGGUGGAGAGAGGAUGGUGGGGCUUGAGGGGCGGGGGGAGUAUGCAAUCGGGACACCAGUGAGGAGGUUGUUUUUGGAUCCUCCUCAUUUCUUGGGGCGAGGGGAGAGUCUCUAACUCCACAGGCCACUUCUGGCAGAGACCAUGAAGGUACCCAGCUGAGGCUCUUGGGAAAAUCCAUCACCCAAAUCUAUCUGGGGUACAAGGCGGGGCAGGAGCUGCUGGUGAAAGUCAGAGACGAGGCAAUCUCCGGGCCCGGGCUUCCAGAAGGCUCUGCCAUCCACCGUUCCCCGGGAUACACACACAGACCUGCCCAGGAUUAAGAAACUGCGGAUUAGGGAAGGAUAAUAAUUGAACCAGCUGCUAUUUAUACAUAGCACCUUUGGCAAAGAUGGUCAGCAGGCCUUCCCAACACAGGAGCCCCUUUCAUGCCCCCUUCUGCCCCAGGAGGGAGGUCUGGCCUUGUUCUCCUGAUCCAGAGACCACAGAAAAAAAUCACCCUUAACUGACCAUCAGGGCUGAGAGGUCAUUGAGACCAAUGGGCAGGUGGGUAUGCUGAGGUUGGGGACAAUUUGCCUGAAGUCACACAGAGCAAUUAUGGCGGGUCAUUGAUGUGAACCGGCCACCCUUGUAGGUGGCCUCCCAGGUUGCCCUGGAUUAAAACCCAACUUCCUCCAUACGUAUACUAUUCGUUCAUGCACUCGACAAUAUUCCUGAAGCAUCUAUCAUGUGCCAGGCACUGUGCUAGGCUUGGGGAUACAGGAGUUGGGGGAGGAGGUAAAAAACCAACAAAACAAAACAAAACCAGAUAAAAACCCCAGGCAGGGGCAAGCAGACAAAUCAGUAUACAAGACGGGGAUGAGGCUACAGGGGAAAGUAAAGCAGGGAAGGGGCCCAGGAGUGCCCACAAGAGGAGACGGGUCUGGGAGCCCUCAGAGAACGUGCUAUUUGAGGGAAAACUGAGGUUCGAGAAGGGAAACCAGAGGCAACCCCAUCCUUGCUUUGCUCUCCGUCUCUCACCGUGUGCCACCUGCCAGCAAUGCCUGGUUCCAGCUUCCGGUCCCAUUCAGAACGAAGCCGCUUUGGAGUGCCUCCCACCUGGGCACCUUCUUGCCACCUCGGCCUCCCCUUCUCCCUUUGACUCUCCACUCAGCAGCCAGAGGCAUCCAUUCUGGAAUUCCGGCCGGAGUCAUUCUCUGUCUGAGGUGCCCUAGAAAGAAGACUUGGCGUGGCCAGCAGGCACCCACCUCAGGGCAAGAGAGUCCCAAGCAGGCUCCAUGUUCAGCACGGAGCUGAUGGGAGGCUCAACCAACGACCCUGGGAUCAUGACCGCAGCCGAAACCAAUAGUUGAACACUCAACAACGGACUGAGCCAGCCAGGUGCCCCUAAA